rnacentral:rRNA from 1 species
UACAGAGGGGGCGAGCGUUGCUCGGAAUUACUGGGCGUAAAGGGCUCGUAGGCGGCCAACUAAGUCAGACGUGAAAUCCCUCGGCUUAACCGGGGAACUGCGUCUGAUACUGGAUGGCUUGAAUCCGGGAGAGGGAUGCGGAAUUCCAGGUGUAGCGGUGAAAUGCGUAGAUAUCUGGAGGAACACCGGUGGCGAAGGCGGCAUCCUGGACCGGCAUUGACGCUGAGGAGCGAAAGCCAGGGGAGCAAACGGG